rnacentral:rRNA from 1 species
UACGUAGGGUGCAAGCGUUGUCCGGAUUCAUUGGGCGUAAAGAGCUCGUAGGCGGCUUGGCAAGUCGGGUGUGAAACCUCCAGGCUCAACCUGGAGACGCCACCCGAUACUGCCAUGGCUAGAGUCCGGUAGGGGACCACGGAAUUCCUGGUGUAGCGGUGAAAUGCGCAGAUAUCAGGAGGAACACCGGUGGCGAAGGCGGUGGUCUGGGCCGGCACUGACGCUGAGGAGCGAAAGCGUGGGGAGCGAACAGG